rnacentral:RNase_P_RNA from 1 species
GCAGCGGGUGGGACGAUCGCUGCCCGCUCUGGCCGCUGCCGCGGCUCCGGUCGCGGCGCGGAAAGGGCGGGGGGAGGAAAGUCCGAACUCCGCAGGGCAGUGCGCCGGGUAAUCCCCGGUCGGGGCAACCCGAAGGAAAGUGGCACAGAAAACAUACCGCCUGCUGCCGCUCCUGCCGAAAGGCGGGGGAGGCGCCGGUAAGGGUGAAAAGGUGCGGUAAGAGCGCACCGCGCGUCCGGUAACGGGCGUGGCAGGCCAAACCCCGCACGGAGCAAGGCCAAAUAGGGAGGCGCCUGAGGAUGGCCCGUCCGAUGCCUCCGGGUAGGCCGCUCGAGCCCGCCAGCAAUGCCGGGCCUAGAUGAAUGAUCGUCACGCCGCCGCCUCGACGACGCACGACCGCAAGGUAUGCCGAAGCGGGUGCGACGGCGGACAGAAUUCGGCUUACACACCCGCUGCAAUG